CCAGAGACCAAGCACCAGGUCUCACUACGCACCAAGAAGGUGACAUCCCAACAGGAAGGCCAGCUGCACCUUAGUCCUGGGCAAACUGGGAUCUCGGCUCCCCUGACCCCAGGAGAGACUGAAGGAGAAAUCCAGGCAGACGAAGCCACAUUGGAGGGGAAGGAGACCACUCUUGCUGAGGAGAGUGGCGUCAUGGAGCAAGGGAAGCUGGCUGGCUGGAGAGCUGCCAUCUGAGGAGGCCGUGGAUCCAGAGAGCAGAUGUCCACCUGGAUGCGUCCAUGCCUAACCCGCCUGUGUCUUCCCGAGGCUGAAUGGGGCGUCCUUCUUCCAUG